rnacentral:rRNA from 1 species
UACAGAGGUCUCAAGCGUUGUUCGGAUUCAUUGGGCGUAAAGGGUGCGUAGGCGGCGCGGUAAGUCGGGUGUGAAAUCUCGGAGCUUAACUCCGAAACUGCAUUCGAUACUGCCGUGCUUGAGGACUGGAGAGGAGACUGGAAUUUACGGUGUAGCAGUGAAAUGCGUAGAGAUCGUAAGGAAGACCAGUGGCGAAGGCGGGUCCCUGGACAGUUCCUGACACUGAGGCACGAAGGCCAGGGGAGCAAACGGG